UGCAGUCGAACGUGAAGGUAUUAGCGAGCAUUUCGGUGUGAGCGGUACCUGAAAGUGGCGGACGGGUGAGUAACACGUAGGUGACCUGCCCCGAAGAGGGGGAUAACCACUGGAAACGGUGGCUAAUACCCCAUGGUCCUGUCGGAGUUGGAAUUCGGCAGGUAAAGGUUACGGCGCUUCGGGAGGGGCCUGCGGUCGAUUAGCUAGUUGGUGGGGUAAAGGCUCACCAAGGCGAUGAUCGAUAGCUGGUCUGAGAGGACGAUCAGCCACACUGGAACUGAGAGACGGUCCAGACUCCUACGGGGGGCAGCAGUGAGGAAUAUUGCCCAAUGGGGGAAACCCUGAGGCAGCAACGCCGCGUGGAGGAUGAAGGUCUUCGGAUUGUAAACUCCUUUUCCGGGGGAAGAGAGAGGACGGUACCCCGGGAAUCAGUCACGGCUAACUACGUGCCAGCAGCCGCGGUAAUACGUAGGUGGCAAGCGUUAUCCGGAAUUACUGGGCGUAAAGCGCAUGCAGGCGGUCUUUCAAGUCUGGCGUGAAAGCUCCUGGCUUAACCGGGAGAGGACGUUGGAAACUGGGAGGCUUGAGGAUAUGAGAGGGACGUGGAAUUCUCGGUGUAGUGGUGGAAUGCGUAGAGAUCGAGAAGAACACCAGUGGCGAAGGCGAUGUCCUGGCAUAAUCCUGACGCUGAGGUGCGAAAGCGUGGGUAGCGAACGGGAUUAGAUACCCCGGUAGUCCACGCUGUAAACGAUGAGUACUAGGUGUAGGCGGUAUCGACCCCGUCUGUGCCGCAGCCAACGCGAUAAGUACUCCGCCUGGGGACUACGGCCGCAAGGCUAAAACUCAAAGGAAUUGACGGGGCCCGCACAAGCAGCGGAGCGUGUGGUUUAAUUCGAUGCGACGCGAAAACCUUACCUGGGCUUGACAUG
rnacentral:rRNA from 1 species